rnacentral:rRNA from 1 species
AUUGAACGCUGGCGGCAGGCCUAAAACAUGCAAGUCGAGCGAGCGGCGGCCGGGUGAGUAAUGUAUGGGGACUGCCCGAUAGAGGGGGAUAACUGCUGGAAACGGUGGCUAAUACAGCAUACCGUCGGAUAACCCAUAUGGGAUUAGCUAGUAGGUCAGGUAAUGGCUUACCUAGGCGACGAUCCCUAGCUGGUCUGAGAGGAUGAAUAGCCACACUGGGACUGAGACACGGCCUAGACUCCUACGGAGGCAGCAGUGGGGAAUAGUGUACAAUGGGCGCAAGCCGGAUGCAGCCAUGCCGCGUGUAUGAAGAAGGCCCUAGGGUUGUAAAGUACUUUCAGUCGGGAGGCGUUACCGACAGAAGAAGCACCGGCUAACUCCGUGCCAGCAGCCGCGGUAAUUC